GUCCAAGGCGAAGGGGGCCGAUUAGAGAGAUCGAACUCCAUGAAACAUCUUCCUCCUCAUCGCAACGGCGACUCCCAAAUCGUGCUCCUCUCUUCCUCCGCCGCUCUCUUAACUUAGCCUUUCAAUCAGUCAACUGCUUUAUUCUCUCCGGCCGACGGGGUAUCAUGGACGUCGAUCCUCGUUACUACGACCACAUCGCUGUCAAUGAUGGUGAUGUUCAGAACAUUGUUU
rnacentral:misc_RNA from 1 species